GAACGCACAUUGCGCCCUAUGGUAAUCCAUUGGGCAUCCCUGUUUGAGUGUCAGAAUCCUACGACUGAUCAAACUUUUAUAUAUGUUAUUUGAUAUAUAUGAAGAUGUUUGGAAAAAACUUUGAGAAAAGUAGAAUUAGUAUUAUAAGGUUACUUUCUUAAAAAUAAGAUUUAUAUUGUUUGGAUUUUCUUCAAAACUCAUUUUGUAUGAAAUAUAGCAAAUGGGUGAGGACAAAAAUCAAUACUUUUGGAUGACCUCAAAUCAGGUAGGACCACCCGCUGAACUUAAG
rnacentral:misc_RNA from 1 species